UACGAGAGGCCCAACCGUUAUUCGGAUUUACUGGGCUUAAAGAGUUCGUAGGCGGUUCGUCAAGUGAGGUGUGAAAGCCCUCGGCUCAACCGAGGAAUUGCGCUUCAAACUGUCGGGCUCGAGGGAGAUAGAGGUGAGCGGAACUGAUGGUGGAGCGGUGAAAUGCGUUGAUAUCAUCAGGAACACCAGAGGCGAAGGCGGCUCACUGGGUCUUUUCUGACGCUGAGGAACGAAAGCUAGGGGAGCAAACGGG
rnacentral:rRNA from 1 species